CCAGGCGAGCAAGAGGGUUAGUCAUGGCUUCCUCUCUUCUUCCCCUCCUUGCCGGUAGUGACCUGCAAAAUACCAAAAAAAACACAACCGGCAAAUUGUUUUAAUCUUCUUUCAUGGUUUUUAGAUCUACCUCUCUCUCUUCUCCUUUAGAUCUGCUUCAUUGCAGAUCAGCUCUUCUAUGGGUUUUUUUUGUCUUCCCCUCCGUUUUGGGUAGUUGGCAGGAGGAGGAAGGAUGGCUGAUGAUCUGUAGAUGCCGCUGUGUUUGGGCCGCUGCUGGAGGCUGUUGGGUCUGCGGGUGCUGGUAGAGUGAGGAGGCGAGUAGGAUGCUGUUUGUAGAAGAUGAAGAAGAGUGUUGCCCCAGCACUGCCAUGUGUGGGCUGCUGGCUCACUGGUGAGGACGGCGCUGCUGCUGUUGGUGGCAAAAAUCAACUAAGAAAAAUGUAGUGGCUGGCUGUUGUGGGGAGGUGUAGAAGCUGAUCUCUGUCUAUGUUGCCCGAAAGGGAAGGUUUGGUGCUGGAAGGGAACAAUGGGAUGGAGAUGAGGGGGCUAUCUUGUAGCUGGCUGGUAAAGGAAAAUG